UACAGAGGCCUCGAGCGUUAGGCGGAAUCACUGGGCUUAAAGCGUGUGUAGGCGGACUUCUAAGUGCCUUGUGAAAUCCCACGGCUCACCCGUGGAACGGCUGGGCAUACUGGGAGUCUUGAGCCACCUAGGGGCUGCCGGAACAAAUGGUGGAGCGGUGAAAUGCGUAGAUAUCAUUUGGAACGCCAGCGGAGAAAUCAGGCAGCUGGGGGUGUGCUGACGCUGAGACACGAAAGCGUGGGUAGCAAACAGG
rnacentral:rRNA from 1 species